CCUACGGGUGGCAGCAGUGGGUGAUAUUGCACAAUGGGCGAAAGCCUGAUGCAGCGACGCCGCGUGAGGGAAGACGGUCUUCGGAUUGUAAACCUCUGUCUUUGGGGAAGAAGAUGACGGUACCCAAAGAGGAAGCUCCGGCUAAAUACGUGCCAGCAGCCGCGGUAAUACGUAGGGAGCGAGCGUUGUCCGGAAUUACUGGGUGUAAAGGGAGCGUAGGCGGGGAUGCAAGCCAGAAGUGAAAUCUGGGGGCUUAACCCCCAAACUGCUUUUGGAACUGCGUGUCUUGAGUGAUGGAGAGGCAGGCGGAAUUCCCAGUGUAGCGGUGGAAUGCGUAGAUAUUGGGAGGAACACCAGUGGCGAAGGCGGCCUGCUGGACAUUAACUGACGCUGAGGCGCGAAAGCGUGGGGAGCAAACAGGAUUAGAUACCCCGGUAGUC
rnacentral:rRNA from 1 species